ACGAACGCUGGCGGCGUGCCUAAUACAUGCAAGUCGAGCGAACCAAUAAGAAGCUUGCUUUUUGUUGGUUAGCGGCGGACGGGUGAGUAACACGUGGGUAACCUGCCUGUAAGACCGGGAUAACUCCGGGAAACCGGUGCUAAUACCGGAUAGAUUAUCUUUCCGCCUGGAGAGAUAAGGAAAGAUGGCNUAUUGCCAUCACUUACAGAUGGGCCCGCGGCGCAUUAGCUAGUUGGUGAGGUAACGGCUCACCAAGGCGACGAUGCGUAGCCGACCUGAGAGGGUGAUCGGCCACACUGGGACUGAGACACGGCCCAGACUCCUACGAGAGG
rnacentral:rRNA from 1 species